UGGAGCCAGAGAAGAGGAAAGGAAAGGGUGAAAGCAAUUUAUAGCACUGAUCUCUCACUUGCUGACUUCGAUGUGAAGAUGAUUUUUUCUGCAGGUGCCUAGUUUGGUGAGGUGUCCUGUGAGAACUUGAGAUGAGGAGAAGCCGGAGCCAGAACUACCUUCCAGAUGACUUCUUGCUGCCACACUUCUCCUCCCAGUGUAAGAGAAUGCAAGCACCUGCUGAUGUUUGAAGCAAGAACAUUGGAGAACUGCUGCCUGACUUCCAACCCAAGGCUUGGAUGAGUUUAGUCUUUUUAGCUUUUUAGUGUGAAGUUCAGGGAUCUGAACUUCAGAUGGUUGUUUCAUCCAUGGACUUUUGCAGAUUGCUGUUUUCAUUCCUGAGAUCUGGGGUAAAGAUUAGUCUAAAUGGUCUUUAAAAUAGCCCUUAGCUUAGGAGCUAUGCAGCCACGGCAUGUUACAGGAGCUUUGCCCACAUUACCCUGUUUGCUUAUUUUUGUCACGUAGUCUUUAAAAAAAGAUGACUUUUAAAAAACUUUGUUUUCUGGGAAUGAUCACUCCCGCCAUUUUUCUGUAAAGGAUCAGGAAAAUGUAUAAAUAAUUCCUGGACUUGGGUGCAGAUGGUGUACGUGCUGGCAAACAGAAAUCUCAAAUGAUAAAAGAGAUUGUCCUUUGUAGAUACUUUUCCAGGCUAGAGUUCUACAUUUUUGGAUUUGACUCAGUGAAAGUCCUUACUGAGCACCUAAUGCAUGCCAAACAUUCUGCUACCUUAGGAGGGGUUGGGGGUCUAUACUACAGUCCAAUUGGAAUACAGGAGGGAUGAAGAGAGAAUACAUAUAAUUCCAGCACAAAGCAGAAUAAAAUAUAGUAUACAAUGGGCUAUGGGAUAUUACGGAGGAAGAGAGCAUAUCUUAUUAGUGGAGUCAGGAAAUGCCUUACCAAGGUGAUGACAUUCUUGCUGGGUCACGGUGGAUAGAUAAGAUUUUGGAAGGGGAGGAGACACUCCAACACAAGCGAGUAAUAAGAACAAAAGCACAGUGAUCCAUUUAGGGAAGAGACGAGGAAAUAUAGGAGGGCUGGAUUUAUAUCAUGAGUACUGAGCCACACGCACACAGUUGACCGUGCCCUCCUCCUUGAACCACUGUGUACUCCAGAGUCACGACACCUUCUUGGCUCAGUCAUUUCCCCAAUUGCCCUUCCUCAGUCUCAGCUCUACAUGUGGAAGGGCUUUAGCAUCAGUAUUUCAGCUCUCUUCUCCUAAGUUGCUAUCAUUUAAAUAUUAAGUAUUUAACAUCUUGCCAGUGACUUCCAAAUCAGUAACUUUCCUCAUGACCCAUGCCCUAACCUCUAGGCUGUCUGUCAAAUUGUCUACUCAGUGCCUUCCCUUUUGAUGUCUAGAUUUCUAGGUCCAAAUCAGAACUCUUGAUUCUUUGCUUCCCCGUCUGCUGGAAAAUCUGUCUUUCCACUAGUCUUCUCCAUCUUAGUUAAGGAGCCUGUUGUCCACCCAGUUGCUUAGGCCCCAAACUAGGAGUUAUGCUAGAUAGAGCCUUUUCUUUCACCUUUCCUACAUAAUAACAAGUAUUUUGGGUCCACCUCUACCCUACCCGAAACAAGUGACUGUUGUUUUUUGUUAUAAUUCUUCUGGUGGUAAGAUUUGCCUCCAAAUGUACAUGA